UAGGGAAUAUUGGACAAUGGGCGCAAGCCUGAUCCAGCCAUGCCGCGUGAGUGAUGAAGGCCCUAGGGUUGUAAAGCUCUUUUGUGCGGGAAGAUAAUGACGGUACCGCAAGAAUAAGCCACGGCUAAUACGUG
rnacentral:rRNA from 1 species